rnacentral:lncRNA from 1 species
UGAGGCUCAAGGAGAUCGAGGUGAUGAAGAAGCUGGGCUUAAAGAAGAGGAAGGCCUUAUGCUCAUCUUCUGGUGUGGUAGUGUCAAAGAAGCCAUGCCAAGCUUUGUCUGCCCAGAUAAAGUAGCCCAUCAAGGAGGGCCCGACUUGGGGGACCAAGGUGGUCCAAGCCAUGUCGGUGCAAGUUCGAGCAUCCAUGGCUCAUCUGUCGCCCUCCGACCUCGAACCCUGCCCUCUGGUCAUAGAACCACCUCCUCAAGCU